ensembl:lncRNA
GUCCAGAACCAGCUUAAUCUGUGCAGCUGGAGGCCUGGGUCAGCUGUAGCCUGUGGGGCCCUGGGAAGCCUCCUCUCUGGGACCCGUGACCCCAAACCUUGGGUCAUCCUCGGGGCCAGAAUUUAGAUUUGGGUACAGGAGCUCAGAACUUUUUAAUUCGAUGGUUUGGAGGUGGAGGGAUCAGGCCUGAGGGAUCCAGACAGCAGGUCUUUCUCUGUCAGGUCCAUGAAGGGGAUGAAGAGACAGGAGGCUAGGGUCCUGGGCUCUUAGGCCUGGGAGGAGAAGAAGGCACCCUGAAGGCUUCAUAGGGUGGAGAGGGUGAUGCUUGGACAGGGGGGUCCACCCUUGGUGUCCUUGGUAUGGUGGUGUAGGUCUGGGGAGGAGGAAUGCCUUUUUCAUGUCUCAGGAAAAUGUUAGGGGGACCCACGGCCCAGACUCAUGACUGAUCUCCUUGUCACCCUUGUGGCCUCCAGGCUCCAGUUCACAUCCUGUCCUUUGAUCUCCAGGAAGCACCUUCAUGGCCAGCAGCAGACAGGAGAGAGGGGUCCAAGGGUGAAGGGAAACAGAACUGAUGGAAUUUGGAGAGAAAGUAUAGCAGGAGUAUUUAAGGAAAACACCAAGAGAUCAAGGAUUAUACCCAUUUCUCACUAUUGGACAACUAGCAGUGAUGGGCAGUUUUGAACACUUACGACCUUAAGGUGAUAAACCAUGGUUUGGCUAAUGUCUGAACACUCUAUCUGUUAAAAUACACGUUAAAGGAACUUUCAGAGCAUGCUGUAUUUUAAAGCUAUGUCUAAAACCUGCACAGACAAA